rnacentral:lncRNA from 1 species
CAGCCACAACGAGAUCUUGGUUUAGUUUACAUGGCUGCCAGAAAAGGGGAAGGGCAAGUGCAUGGACAUCCUGGAGUCUCUCCUGCAGAUACGUGGAGUGGAUGAGAUCAUCAGCUGGCAGGUGUCUGUUGUCCCUUUUGGGUCAAAGGACCACAGCGGCACUCAGUCCAAAGGAGUCAUGUGGAACUCAAAUACCAAGAUGAGGUGAAGCUGAGAACACCCCUGGAUGCCUUCUUUUCAUCACUGUGAGCCAUCCUACCACAGCUGUGACCGACAAUCUUCACUAUCAGUUUGGCUGGACUUAAGUCACCAUGGAAGCACAACUUUGAGCGUGUCUAUGAGGGUGUCUCCAGAAAGGUGCAACCAACGAGGGAAGCCCCACCCUGAAUGUGGGUCACUGUCCCAUGGGCUGGGGUCCUGGCGUGAAUGAAAGGAGAAAGCCUGGUAAACACAGGAGCCAGCUCUUUGUUCCCUGGCUGUGGAUACAAUGUGGCCAGGUGCCUCACAGUCCUGUCUCCUUGUCUUCCCUGCCAAAUUGAGCUGCACUUUUAAACUGUAAAUCCUAGUAAACCCUUCCUCCCUUAA